rnacentral:rRNA from 1 species
UGUGUAGGCGGUUCUCUAAGUUUGGUGUGAAAUCUCCCGGCUCAACCGGGAGGGUGCGCCGAAAACUGGGGGACUAGAGUGCGGGAUGGGAGAGUAGAAUUCCUGGUGUAGCGGUGAAAUGCGUAGAUAUCAGGAGGAAUACCGGUGGUGUAGACGGCUCUCUGGACCGCCACUGACGCUGAGACACGAAAGCGUGGGUAGCAAACA